GAUGAACGCUGGCGGCGUGCCUAAUACAUGCAAGUCGAGCGAACGGACGAGAAGCUUGCUUCUCUGAUGUUAGCGGCGGACGGGUGAGUAACACGUGGAUAACCUACCUAUAAGACUGGGAUAACUUCGGGAAACCGGAGCUAAUACCGGAUAAUAUUUUGAACCGCAUGGUUCAAAAGUGAAAGACGGUCUUGCUGUCACUUAUAGAUGGAUCCGCGCUGCAUUAGCUAGUUGGUAAGGUAACGGCUUACCAAGGCAACGAUGCAUAGCCGACCUGUGAGGGUGAUCGGCCACACUGGAACUGAGACACGUACCAGACUCCUACGAGAGGCAGCAGUAGGGAAUCUUCCGCAAUGGGCGAAAGCCUGACGGAGCAACGCCGCGUGAGUGAUGAAGGUCUUCGGAUCGUAAAACUCUGUUAUUAGGGAAGAACAUAUGUGUAAGUAACUGUGCACAUCUUGACGGUACCUAAUCAGAAAGCCACGGCUAACUACGUG
rnacentral:rRNA from 1 species